GAGACUCCCUGUCCCGGACCGCAGAUUAUAGUGGGACCAGUCUCAUUAGGUUGAAUCUACAGCCUUUGUUGGUGUUAACCCAGGUCUCUUAGAGUGUUAAAAGGAUCUGAACAAAGUCUGCUCAAAUCUCCUGCUGUGAACCAGCAGAAUUUUUGAACAGAGACCACGUCUCCAACUCCUGGGCUCCAACGAUUCUCCCAUCUCGGCCUCCCAAAGCGCUGGAGUUACAGGUUUCUUCACAUAUAAAAAUCUAUUGUAAAAAUACGGAAAAGAAUGGCAGCGGAAACGCAGACACUGAACUUUGGGCCUGAAUGUCUCUUACAGAUAUGUUUGGACCCCGAAUAUGGAAUUCUCAUGGAAUUUUGAGAUCCAUCACAUUGUAGUGUGGCUUCCCCCCCCCCCUUCCUUUUUCCCCAAAGUUGGUGAUUGAAGAACCUCUCUUCAGUGGCAUCAAUAAUAAUAAUUACUUUUUCUAUUCAAACCUCGGGCAACCCCUUUGGUAAUAUCAGAAGCAGUAUCUAAAAUAGAUAAAUUGGAUUUGUGUCUUAAACUCUUGGUUGUUCAGGUGGGAGU
rnacentral:sRNA from 1 species